UACGUAGGGUGCAAGCGUUAAUCGGAAUUACUGGGCGAAAGCGUGCGCAGGCGGUGAUGUAAGACAGAUGUGAAAUCCCCGGGCUCAACCUGGGAACUGCAUUUGCGACUGCAUCGCUGGAGUGCGGCAGAGGGGGAUGGAAUUCCGCGUGUAGCAGUGAAAUCGUAGAUAUGCGGAGGAACACCGAUGGCGAAGGCAAUCCCCUGGGCCUGCACUGACUCCAU
rnacentral:rRNA from 1 species